rnacentral:tRNA from 1 species
AUAAUGUUUGGCGAGGAUUCAGACGCCGUAUUUCGCCAAUAUGAAUACCCGUUAUUUUCUUCAGUGCAGGCCGGGCCAUUUUC